UAACACGUAGGUAACCUGCCUAUAAGACUGGGAUAACUCCGGGAAACCGGGGCUAAUACCGGAUAACAUUUUGCACCGCAUGGUGCGAAAUUGAAAGGCGGCUUCGGCUGUCACUUAUAGAUGGACCUGCGGCGCAUUAGCUAGUUGGUGAGGUAACGGCUCACCAAGGCGACGAUGCGUAGCCGACCUGAGAGGGUGAUCGGCCACACUGGGACUGAGACACGGCCCAGACUCCUACGGGAGGCAGCAGUAGGGAAUCUUCCGCAAUGGACGAAAGUCUGACGGAGCAACGCCGCGUGAGCGAUGAAGGCCUUCGGGUCGUAAAGCUCUGUUGUUAGGGAAGAACAAGUGCUAGUUGAAUAAGCUGGCACCUUGACGGUACCUAACCAGAAAGCCACGGCUAACUACGUGCCAGCAGCCGCGGUAAUACGUAGGUGGCAAGCGUUAUCCGGAAUUAUUGGGCGUAAAGCGCGCGCAGGUGGUUUCUUAAGUCUGAUGUGAAAGCCCACGGCUCAACCGUGGAGGGUCAUUGGAAACUGGGGAGACUUGAGUGCAGAAGAGGAAAGUGGAAUUCCAUGUGUAGCGGUGAAAUGCGUA
rnacentral:rRNA from 1 species